GAAGAGAAGGAGGAGGAGGAGGAGGAGGAGAAAGUGGCUCUCAGCGGCCGGUCGGAUUAAAAGUAACCAGACUCGUCCAGAAAACUGCGUCCAGGAAGGAAGUGACAGAAGACGAAUGGGAAAAGGAGAACAGCUCACAGCGUUUGAAACAUCGCGGCACCACUUUCAGAUAAAAACAUAGACCUGAAUGGCAUCAUCCAGUAUCCAAGGAAACCAUAACAGAUUGGAAGAAUGCGAAAUGUUAUUAGACACAGGCACAGCAUAGCAGUAGAAACAUCUUAACUGAGAACUUGGAACUGAAAGAGAAAGCAACCAACUUAAAGGGCAGACAAGACACAUGGUUAUGUAACACAGCAGUGGGUAUUCACAGUGAUGACACAAGACAAAACAAUUACAUUUUCAUUCUAAAAGUAAUUUUUAAGGAGGCAAGGGCAUUUAUAAAACAUUUUAGAAACUAUUUAAUAAAAAUGGUAAAAUUAAAGUGUUUGUUUAUGUACUCAACAAAUAUUUAUUUGGAAAGUGCAUGCCUGGGGGCACAUCUCGUUAAUGAGGUGAUCCUGUGUUUAGAACUGAAGGCAGUCCUCAUCCAUUCUCUCAAAAGGUGACCUUCUUUGUUCUUCUUAUAGCCUCACCACAUUUAAUUUUCAGAGGUUUUGACAUAAAUUAAAAACAUUCUUUGGUAGAUUGUAUUGUAUGAAAACAAUCUUCAAAAGUGUAAGCAUUGAUAUCUGGAAUAUCUGGGAAAAUGUACAAUAAAGACAUCUCUUCUGGUCUUCCUCUGAUGGUAAUGUGUUCACUAUUAUACUGAUGAUGUAAGCUAUGUAUGUAAACCUAUGCAGGUAAAAUUCUGCUAAAGCCAAUCCCACUACAAAACAACAACAACAACAAACCCCAAGUGGCAUCUGAAGAGCUUGGGAAUUCCAGGAAUGUGAUAAAAAUGUUUUUAAUAAUACACGGAAAAAUAAUUUAGUGUGUAAAUAAUAUUUUAUAGUAAAUGCUUCAUUUUAUUCCUUCCAUAUAACAACUGUCUUCUGUAAUGAAAAUACUUACUUGUUUGUUUAGUGUCUAAAGGUUGAGAAGGGAACUAGAAUUGGCCUAAGGAGGCCCUCAGCCACCCAUCAUGUGACAGUAUGGCCAGGAGGACUUACUCUCUGCUCUCCUCCUCUUGACAUGCCUCAAACACACCAAUCAUUUGCACUUGGGAAAUCAACCCUCACUAGCAAAUUACUCCUGCCAACAAAAUAACCCAAUCAGCAUGCAAAACUGGUAGCGAGCUGGGAGAGGGCGAUGAGAGUGGUGUUCACAUGGCUCCCUCUGUUUCCCUUUCCCCAGGUCUGGGCACACACUGUCAGUCAGUGGCCCCUGACUCAGAAAGAGGUUUGAUUUAAACCAUUUCAUUUUCUGCUCUCAGACUGGGAAUUUAUUUAAUAUGAAUGUCAUCAUUAUAACAAAACUCAACUGUAUUCUAGCAAAAAUUUGGCUGAUCUAUGAAGAAUAUUGGAAGGAGAAUCUGUGAACCCAAAAAUACUAGACCACUGCUUAUUCAGUUCUGCAAUUUUGUCACUUUAAUGGACUCUUCAGAGUGCCAAAUCACUAGUCCUACUGACUAUACAAAAAUUGGCCAUCAACAUGCCUGCCUCCAACAAAUUGUUGCUGUUACUUCAUGUUAUCCACUUUGGGCUUAGAGACUGAAGGCCAAAAAGCAUCCAAUUUUUAUGGUAAAAAAGUGCAUCAGGAGGGCAACUACAUACAAAGUUACCCUCCCAGUUUGACCCUGUCCUUAAGUUUUUAUUGCCUGAACUGGCACCAAAGAAACUCCUUGAAAAUAACACAUUCCUUGUCCAUUCAGUGGUUAAUGAUGCUUAAAAAAAAUCACAGUUUGUGACUGUGACCUAAAUUAUGCCAGAAGCUGUAAAACCAUGGUUUCUUUAAAUUCAAAUAUGACCCACAUGCUUUAAAACCACUACACUGACCCUAUAGUACUGUUGCUGAGUGUGCGUGUCCUCACAUAAACACAGACACACACACACACACACACACACACACACACACACACUCCCCACUUGGCAUUAAAUGACUCGAUAAAAGAAAUGGUAUUUUUCAGACUUCCAUGUUAAAAAAAAGGCUCAUGAAAGAGAUGUAAGUGAGCUUUAAGCCAAACAUUUGUUUGGCUUUGCUGCAGCAGGCUGCAGGAAUGUAAACUUUUUUUUUUUUUUCAAUGACUUCAGCUCCUAAUUUGAAAGCUAGGAUUUUUAGGAGUGAGCAAGAGACUAUAUUUGGCCAAAAAAUUCUGCUGGCUUUACUUAGCCAAUCUGCACAUUCAAAACAAUACUUCUUUAUCAAAAAAACAAUAGUCUGUUUUAUUCACAGCACAUGUAGAAGUUGGAACAUCGACUAAAUUCCACUUUCUUCUCUUGCAGUGUGUCUGUAACCAGCUAAUGAGCUGCAACAGAGCCUGGCCUUCAUUUUCAGCAAAUUAAGUUCAUCCCUCAUAGGAAUUGUGGUCUGGCUGUGGCACCGCUCCUAGGUAUGGGUGGGAUUUGUUUCUUCUAGCAGUUGUAGGUUAGCCACAUGGGUACGUGCUGUCGCACCACACAACAAAAUUUUCUCUAUAAUAACCAGUCUAAGUAGGCUUUUACCCCACAAAAGUAGAUCCCAUUUAAUUUACUUUGUGUUUAUAGCACUCCCUCUCAAACCGCACCAUUGGCACAGACUAAUAUUUAUACAACUUUUUAUUUUAAACUAUUUAUUUGGAGUUGAGACUUCAGUAGCACUCCCUGUCAGAUUCAUUGAACAAGCUUAAAUUCAGGAUACUGAAAAUGUAAAUUGGGAAGAGGGAUGUAUGUUCUUGGGAUUCUUUUCUCCCGUGCAUGGACACCCAAACAACUCUCACUGUAGUAAAGGGAGGUUACACAUGUGUUGAUAACAUUUGUAUUACUGCUGGUAGGAAAUUGAACAUUGAUGGGUGGUUUUAAAAGCCUGCUUUUGCCUAUUGUGUUUCCACAUUUCUUUGCCAAUAUAGUUGGUCAAAUUAGUUAUGCAAAAUGCAUCUAAAAACUUCUAAUCCAAAAGUGUCAAUGUUGUUAAAGAUUUCUUUUCAUACACAAAGAAAUAUUACAUUGCUCCAUUAUUUUAAUGGAAGUCGUUAGUCAAAUACGCUUUUGCCACAGAAAGAAAAGGGAAAAAAUUCUUAAUUUUGUAUCUGACCUCUGCUUUGGGGCCUUACUUUAAGUUACAUUUUUCUUAAAUAAAGCUUUUCUGUUUUUUAAAGUGAAUGACGGGAUGUUAACUUUAAAUAGACAUUUAACCACAUAAAGUAUAGUGGCAGAUGGUUCAUUUUUCUACUCAGGGUAGACACUUUAUUCAGGUAAUGAUAUUUAAUCCUCAUUUUCUAUGAAAUCUGCAUGUUGUUCUUAAAUCUGAUACUAUUUUGUGAUUUAAAAUGAGUGUUGGGUUAACUUUGUUUACAAGUGAAGUAUUUAUCCCUUUGAUUCUCUUUUACUUUCUUCUUUUGGUAAACACCUAUCCGUUUCUAAGACCCACUUAUAUGUUAUCUCAUCAAGGAAAAUUUUCCCAUCCUCCCAAAGGAGAACAGAACUCCACUGUAGUGGAAUAAGUUUUUUGAGGUAUGAACCAAUGCUUCUGUCCUCCUAAUAUUCUUACAACCUCUAACCCGCCUCUGCAUUCAGGAAACCAGAAUACAUUAGGGAGGAGACAGCAAAGGAAAACAAAAGACAAUAAAGGAAUCGAUGUAUUUGUUUUGUAACUCAAAGUUAAAGUCCAAAUUUAGAAAAUAGAUUUGAAAGCAUAACGGGUCAAUUUCUGUUGUGCCUCUGAAGAAGAAAGUUGAGAAAGAACGAAGAGGGCUUAGAUGCUGGUGGGUGUCUGCAAAAAAGCCCAGACAAUGCCUGGAAUAAUAAAGAAGCAGAGAACUUCCAGGGAGGAAGGGAACAGUCUCUAAGAUGGAGCAGGACCUGGGGAAGUCUUGCUUCUCCACUGAAGAACAUGGACCAAGACCAGGGCAGAAGGGAUGGCAGCUUCCCCGUAGAGCAGUGAGGACGGAUGACGACAUGAAGACUGGACUGCUCAUUCUCACCUUCCCUUCACAGUCCCUGGCACUUUUUAAGCUCCUUGGAAAUUAGAGGCAAUCUAGGAGAAAGGGGGAUAGAAGCAGACCUUAUUUCUGUUACAAUGUGAAUGGGAGCUUCAAAUUGAAGAUAAAAUGUUAUGGAAAAAGUGAAAUUAUAUAUAUAUUUUGCACAUCGUAGCUUGGUGGCUUUAGGUUUCUGUGCAUCAAAGGAAGGAAUUGUGUCUUCCUCAUUGUCAUACUCUGGUAUUGGAGAUUGUGCAACAUAUAUAGUA
rnacentral:lncRNA from 1 species